UUGGGUUAAGUCCCGUAACGAGCGCAACCCUUGUCCUUAGUUACCAGCACGUUAUGGUGGGCACUCUAAGGAGACUGCCGGUGACAAACCGGAGGAAGGUGGGGAUGACGUCAAGUCAUCAUGGCCCUUACGGCCUGGGCUACACACGUGCUACAAUGGUCGGUACAAAGGGUUGCCAAGCCGCGAGGUGGAGCUAAUCCCAUAAAACCGAUCGUAGUCCGGAUCGCAGUCUGCAACUCGACUGCGUGAAGUCGGAAUCGCUAGUAAUCGUGAAUCAGAAUGUCACGGUGAAUACGUUCCGGCUU
rnacentral:rRNA from 1 species